GGUGGAUCAGUAAUAGAUUCUUGAGGCUGAUGGUGUUGAUCGUCGUUGGUGGUCGUGGUGGUAGCGGCUAGUGUCUCACAGGCAAUUUUGCGUUCGCAAGAGACGCCGGCGCAUGCUGAAACUAAGGUUUCGAGAUCCACUUGUGGCAUCGUCAGUUGAGAAAGAGAGAAUACAAGAAGAAGAUAGAAUUUGAGAGGGAGAGAAACUGAGGAAGAAGAGAUAAAGAUGGGAAGAUUUAUAAGAGAAGAGGAGCAGUGUGGUAUUGGAGUUUGGACUAGAAGUUCCAACUUGUUGACUCUAGGCUGUGGUGGUUUUGGUUUGGCCUUUCGCGUGAGAACACUGCUUUUUAAGUUUUCACCUCUCCACCACCACCUCCUCCUCCUCCUCCUCCUC
rnacentral:misc_RNA from 1 species